AGAGUUUGAUCCUGGCUCAGGAUGAACGCUAGCGGCAGGCUUAAUACAUGCAAGUCGAACGGGAUUCAGGGUAGCAAUACUUUGAUGAGAGUGGCGCACGGGUGCGUAACGCGUAUGCAACCUACCUUUAACAGGUGAAUAGCCCCGAGAAAUCGGGAUUAAUACACCGUAACAUUGCGAGAUGGCAUCAUUUUGCAAUUAAAGAUUUAUCGGUUAAAGAUGGGCAUGCGUGACAUUAGCUAGUUGGUGAGGUAACGGCUCACCAAGGCAACGAUGUCUAGGGGUCCUGAGAGGGUUAUCCCCCACACUGGUACUGGGACACGGACCAGACUCCUACGGGAGGCAGCAGUGGGGAAUUUUGGACAAUGGGGGCAACCCUGAUCCAGCCAUUCCGCGUGAGUGAAGAAGGCCUUCGGGUUGUAAAGCUCUUUCAGCAGGAACGAAACGGUCGUCUCUAACAUAGAUGGCUAAUGACGGUACCUGAAGAAGAAGCACCGGCUAACUACGUGCCAGCAGCCGCGGUAAUAC
rnacentral:rRNA from 1 species